CAGCCGCCGCGGUAAUACCGGCGGCCCGAGUGGCGGUCACUAUUAUUGGGCUUAAAGCGUCCGUAGCCGGGUUGGGAAGUCCUCCGGGAAAUCUGGCCGCUUAACGGUCAGAAUGCCGGAGGAUACUCCCAGCCUAGGGAGCGGGAGAGGCCGGGGGGACUCCUGGGGGAGGGGCGAAAUCCUAUAAUCCCAGGAGGACCACCAGUGGCGAAGGCGCCCGGCUGGCACGCGCCCGACGGUGAGGGACGAAAGCUGGGGGAGCAAAGGGGAUUAGAUACCCCCGUAGUCCCAGCUGUAAACGAUGCGGGCUAGAUGUGGGGCGGGCCUCGAGCCCGCCCAGUGUCGGAGGGAAGCCGUUAAGCCCGCCGCCUGGGGAGUACGGCCGCAAGGCUGAAACUUAAAGGAAUUGGCGGG
rnacentral:rRNA from 1 species